GGCCUCUUAGUUCAAUGGAUAGAACAAGUCUCUCCUAAAGAUUAGAUUGGGGUUCGAUUCCCCAAGAGGCCGCCA
rnacentral:tRNA from 1 species